rnacentral:rRNA from 1 species
AUUGAACGCUGGCGGCAUGCCUUACACAUGCAAGUCGAACGGCAGCACGGGAGCAAUUCUGGUGGCGAGUGGCGAACGGGUGAGUAAUAUAUCGGAACGUGCCCAGUCGUGGGGGAUAACGUAGAGAAAUUUACGCUAAUACCGCAUACGAUCUACGGAUGAAAGCGGGGGAUCGCAAGACCUCGCGCGAUUGGAGCGGCCGAUAUCAGAUUAGGUAGUUGGUGAGGUAAAGGCUCACCAAGCCGACGAUCUGUAGCUGGUCUGAGAGGACGACCAGCCACACUGGGACUGAGACACGGCCCAGACUCCUACGGGAGGCAGCAGUGGGGAAUUUUGGACAAUGGGCGCAAGCCUGAUCCAGCAAUGCCGCGUGCAGGAUGAAGGCCUUCGGGUUGUAAACUGCUUUUGUACGGAACGAAACGGUGAGCUCUAAUACAGUUUGCUAAUGACGGUACCGUAAGAAUAAGCACCGGCUAACUACGUG